rnacentral:lncRNA from 1 species
AGGGAAAGCAACUUAAGAAAGAAGAGAUGGAAAACUUAUUUGGGCCUGUGACAAAACACACCCUUUGUUCUUAUUUGUCUUCAACUCGGGAGCUCUCCAGAGUCCCCGGAGAAGCGGGGAAGGAGGUCAAGGAACUUGCAUAUAUGGGGGUUUUUUGUUGGUUUUUUUUCUUUUGGUUGUUGGCCAGCUGCCGGCCCUAGAUUCUGGCAAGUCCAGAGUGGAGCCUCUGGGAGGUGGCAGGAGACUGUGAGGGUGGAUAGAGCGCCUGAGGCAGGCACAGCUGUGACCUCAGUGACCCCUACUGUCUCUCCAUCCGGACACUGAGGUUGGGCCUCACAGAGUGACUGUCAGUCAGCAAGAGGCGUGUAGCUUCCUCAGACUCAGCCUAGGCUGUGGAAAAGAGUGAGACCGGACACCAGGAGUUCAGACUGAUCCUUGAAGGGGGCCUUUUCCUGGAAGAAGCGACAUCUCUAUCAGCAGACCUCCCAGGCCAAUAAAUUGGAGAUGCUCCUGGGGAAGGGUGGUCUGCCCAGGGCGAGAGCUCCCUUCAGCAGUGACAUAUCUUUCUGCCUAUCAAAUGGGAGGCUGGCUGCUCAAGGCAAGAGCUGAGUGCUCCCUAUCAGAUAAAAGGUCUCCCUGGGGCAGGGCCAACCUAUCCUACUGGGCCUGUGGGGACCAGCCUCUGCAGCCCGUAUGACUCACAUGGCCUUUCUGGGUGGCAGGUAACAAAUGGUACAAGCAGCAUCUUUCCUACCGCCUGGUGAACUGGCCUGAGCGCCUGCCCGAGCCAGCUGUUCGAGGGGCCGUGCGCGCUGCCUUCCAGCUGUGGAGUAAUGUGUCAGCACUGGAGUUCUGGGAAGCCCCAGCCACGGGCCCUGCCGACAUCCGCCUCACCUUCUUCCAAGGAGACCACAAUGAUGGGCUGGCCAACGCCUUCGAUGGCCCAGGUGCUGUCCCAAAGCCUUCUUCCACACAGCAAGGGGGUUGCUUGCCUAGGAAAGGCAGCCUGAGGGUGGCAGUGGAGUUUCCAUUCUUGAAAGCACAGCCAAAACAGGUUCUCCUCCAAAAGGACCACCUAUCACUUCAUCUGUAAAAUAAGAACAACAGGCCCUGCCCACGGUGUACCUCAUGGCUGAAAGGACAGCCAGAUAAGGUUUGGUGUAGAAAGCACUUUGCUGACUCUAGAGUAUGCUGGGUUCUUGGAGAACAUUCAGGAAUCCUGUCAAUUCCUGCUUCUAGACAGGCCUGUGCUUCUGCUGUUCUCCAGAGUCGGCUUUCAUAAGAUAUCCCGAGUCCCCCAUCAGCCCCUUCCUCCCCUGUCCCCUGAUAACCAGGAGCCUUUACCCUACAUUCACAGAAGUGCUUCAGAGAUCAUAGCCACAGCCGGGUCCAUUUGUCCCCAGCCGGAAGGCUUCCUCUGCAGUGUGAGCCAUUCUCCCAUUCUGCUCCGCACUGGCCUUCCGAAUCUGGCUAUGCGCUAUUUGCGCUCCUCGGUGAGAGCUGAGCAGGCUGAGCAGUGCUGGACACAGCUGAUGUUCCUCCUGCCCUUGUCAGUCCCUGCCGACCUGGGCUCCUAGAAGGCGAUGCUGAAAGGACUCUUGAUGAGCUAACAUUGUCACAGUACCAUUUGCUAACCUCUGUCAGGGUCACCUGCCUCAUUUGAAGGUGUAUAUGAGGGCCACGACCUAGAAGCCACAUCUAGUUAUUUCUGCGGGGACCCAGACAUACCUGUGACAAUCACUGAAGAGCUGACUGUCUCUGCUCACCACUACAAUGGGCAGGGUGAGAGGCCUAGAGGAGUCCUGGCAGGGGGAAGACACAUGUUUACAGGAAACUAGAUAUAUCAGCCAGGCGUGGUGGCACACACCUGGAACCCUGGCAUUACGGUGGUCAUGAAACUGGGGAGACGGUUCCAUGCUGUGCAAGUGUGAGGACCUGGGUUCAGAUUCUCAGCACGCACGUAACCCCAGCAACUGGGGGAUGGAGACAGGAAAACCUUGGGGGCUCACAGAAUGGCAAGCUUCAGGUUCAGUGCAAGGCCCCUGUCUUGAAAUUGAUAAUAACAAUGAUAUGAUAGUGGAAGGGGCUGGAGAGGUGGCUCAGUGUUUACAAGUGCCAGCAGCUUCUUUGAAAAACCUGACUUUGGCUCAUUCACAGUGGCUCACAAUCAUAACACCGGUUCCAGGUAAUCCCACACCCUCUUGGCUUCUGAGGGCAACAGGCACACGUGGUACACACAGACACAUAUGCAGACAAAAUACAAUCAAUUAGAAAUUUUAAUGGGAGGAUGUAGGGACCCCUCCCUACCUUUAAUUCUAGCUCUUGGGAGGCAGGGACUGGAAGAGCUCUGAGCUCCAGGCAACCCAGAGCUGUAUAAAGACAUUGUCUCAAAAGAUUUUAAAAAAAGAAAGAAAAGAAAAGAAGCCCUAAAAGCUCACGCCUUUAAUCCCAGUGCUCGGGAGGCAGAGGCAGGUGGAUUUUUUAGUUCGAGGCCAGCCUGGUCUACAAAGUGAGUUCCAGGACAGCCAGGGCUAUACAGAGAAACCCUGUCACAAAAAACAAAAAACCAAAACAAAACAAAAACAAAAACAAAAAAAGGGAGGGGGGAUUAAGUUAAAAAAGUGACUGAGACAAGAAUCCCAGCAUCAGCCUCUGGCUUGCAUACAUACGUGAGCAUACAUGCAACAUACAUGCAUUUACACACACACACACACACACACACAGCGUAAUAAGACCCUGUCCAAAUAAAGGCUGGUGGUGGUAUGACUCAUGGGUAUGGGUGAAGGUGCUUGUCCUUGCUGCCAAGCUUGCAGACCUAAGUUUGAUCCCUGGGAUCCACACGGUAGAAGAUGAGAAUUGAGUUCCCCAGUUUGUCCUCUGAUCCCCACAUGGCACAUCUGACACACUUAAAACAAUUAAAAAACCAACCAACC